rnacentral:rRNA from 1 species
GAUGAACGCUAGCGGCAAGCUUAAUACAUGCAAGUCGAGGGGCAGCAUGACUGUAGCAAUACAGUUGAUGGCGACCGGCAAACGGGUGCGGAACACGUACAGAACCUUCCUUCGAACGGGGAAUAGCCCAGAGAAAUUUGGAUUAAUACCCCAUAGUAUUACGGAGUGGCAUCACUUUGUAAUUAAAGAUUUAUCACUUGAAGAUGGCUGUGCGGCUGAUUAGAUAGUUGGCAGGGUAACGGCCUACCAAGUCUACGAUCAGUAACUGGUGUGAGAGCACGACCAGUCACACGGGCACUGGGAGAGGGGGCCGACUCCUACGGGAGGCAGCAGUAAGGAAUAUUGGGCAAUGGACGCAAGUCUGAACCAGCCAUGCCGCGUGAAGGAUUAAGGUCCUCUGGAUUGUAAACUGCUUUUGUACGAGAAGAAACACUCCUUCGUGAAGGAGCUUGACGGUAUCGUAAGAAUAAGGAUCGGCUAACUCCGUGCCAGCAGCCGCAGUAACAC